rnacentral:rRNA from 1 species
UACGUAGGAGGCGAGCGUUGUCCGGAGUUACUGGGCGUAAAGGGUGCGUAGGCGGUUGGGUAAGUCUGACGUGAAAUCUCCGAGCCUAACUCGGAAACUGCGUUGGAUACUAUCCGGCUAGAGGAAUGGAGGGGAGACUGGAAUACUUGGUGUAGCAGUGAAAUGCGUAGAUAUCAAGUGGAACACCAGUGGCGAAGGCGAGUCUCUGGACAUUUCCUGACGCUGAGGCACGAAAGCCAGGGGAGCAAACGGG